rnacentral:rRNA from 1 species
GAUGAACGCUGGCGGCGUGCCUAAUACAUGCAAGUCGAGCGAACAGACGAGGGGCUUGCUCCUUUGACGUUAGCGGCGGACGGGUGAGUAACACGUAGGUAACCUACCUAUAAGACUGGGAUCACUUCGGAAAACCGGCGCUAAUACCGGAUAAUAUUUCGAACCGCAUGGUUCGAUAGUGAAAGAUGGCUUUGCUAUCACUUAUAGAUGGACCUGCGCCGUAUUAGCUAGUUGGUAAGGUAACGGCUUACCAAGGCAACGAUACGUAGCCGACCUGAGAGGGGGAUCGGCCACACGGGAACGAAGCCACGUCCCAGACUCCUACGGGAGGAAGCAGUAGGGAACCUUCCGCAAUGGGGGAAAGCCGGACGAUGCAACGCCGCGUAAGGGAGGAUGUUCUUCGGCUCGUUAAACUCUUUUUUUAAGGAAGAACAAUCGGGUAAUUAACUGUGCACGUCUUGACGGUACCUAAUCAGAAAGCCACGGCUAACUACGUG